AUGGCCAGCCAUACUACCCUGAAUGCAUCUGAUCUCGGAAGCUAAGCAAGGUUGGGCCUAGUUAGUACUUGGGUGCGAGACCAAAGUGUGUGCUAUUGUUUGAUCUUUAGGGGCUUGCUUUU
rnacentral:rRNA from 1 species